AACAACAACAACAACAAAUAUGGCGGAAUCUGUAUUGUCAAACACGGAAGAAGAAGGAUACAACCAUAAUUAAACCAAGAAGUAUAUGAAGAAGGGAUCACUGGAUUUUGUCACUUUGGUACAAGAAACAGAAAAGGAUAUCAUAGACCACCUUACUUAUACGGAAACAUAGGAGCUGUUGAAGGAAAUUGCUGCCAGACAGUCAACAGUUAUCACUGACAGCCUGUCCUGGCCCAGCUGGGACCAUCCUCAAGCUAACCAUGAUGAUGUGUUUGCAAGAAUUGUCCAUUUGGUAGAACAUGAUGAAGACGAGCUUUGUUGUGGCAUGGCCUGACAAUACUGUACAAGCCAGAGACCAAAAAAGGGUUAAGUGGUGACUGAUCCUCUCACCCUCCUUAUCCAGGAAACGUUUCGGAACAACGUGUUGGCACUGAAGAUAUGGAGGACACAGAUUGAUCACAGUACAUCCUUUGGAUACAUGAACACCUUCAACGGGACGACAACAAAACUGUACCUGCCUUUUUUUUGAAAGAAAGUAGUUAAUACAAUUAUUGUUAACAGCUUUUUUAGUCUUGUUGUUUAAGAAUGCUUGCAACAUUUAAGUGGAUAAACGGUUGUUUUAAAUUUGAAGCUUCAGUAAUGCAUUCUUUAUUAAAUGAUGUAAUCUUAUUUCUUUCAAUAUAGUGUAAAUAAUAAGAACAUAGUUAUCCUUUGUAUACAAAAUGAAAACCAAGUUUACUGUUCUAUUAAUCAUUAUUUAUUUAUCUUGUUCUUUUGUCAGAAAUAUUACAGGGGCAUACAUACAGUAUUCCUUAAAUAAAAGGGGCAGUUCUUAGAAAAUUAACAUGUAUUUUAGCAAUGCAUAUUCAAACUUUUUCCACAUUUAUAACCAGCAACAAUAUGUAAGUAUUAUAAUGUAACACAAAUUAAUACUAUGAAUUUACUACUGAUUUUGCCGUGCCUGUCAUCAAAUAAACAUGUUUUACUGAAA